AUUUUUAUGUUGUGACCUCUGAGCUCCAGAUUGGGACAGAGGGAAUCAGCAUAAUUUUUUGUGGUGCAUUUACUUGAUUGGUGCUUGGGGAUGUUUGAGGCAGAUUUGUUUCCGUCGUUUUGAGGCCAGCUGCUGGUACCCAAACGGUGUUAGCAUUUUUUGUCUUGGGCAUUUGAGUAUGGCUCACGUGUAUUUAUUGGACAGAUCUGAGUGUAAGUUACGGUCGCAUGCGACACGUGCUUUUCAAUUAGUUCGGUCCAGUUAAUGCUCUCGUACUCGUUCCCCAUGUAAAAGCCGGUCAUCUAUCCGACCCGUCUUGAAACACGGACCAAGGAGUUUAUCGUGUGCGCAAGUUUUUGGGUGUUAAAAACUUAAAAGCGAAAUGAAAGUAAAUGACUCUUUAGAGUCUGAUGUGCGAUCUUGUAAAAAAGUGUAGCAUGGCCCCAUUCUAACUGUUUACAGUAGGGUGGCGGAAGAGCGUACGCGGUGAGACCCGAAAGAUGGUGAACUAUUCCUGAGCAGGACGAAGCCAGAGGAAACUCUGGUGGAAGUCCGAAGCGGUUCUGACGUGCAAAUCGAUCGUCUGACUUGGGUAUAGGGGCGAAAGACUAAUCGAACCAUCUAGUAGCUGGUUCCCUCUGAAGUUUCCCCAGGAUAGCUGGAGCUCAAGAGUAGUUAUACUCGGUAAAGCGAAUGAUUAGAGGACUUGGGAACGAAAUGUUCUUAACCUAUUCUCAAACUCUAAAUGGUUAUGAUGUCAAAGUUGCUUGAUUUUGAACUUUGGCGUUGAAUACGAGCUCCAAGUGGGCCAUUUUUGGUAAGCAGAACUGGCGAUGUGGGAUGAACCAAACGCGGAGUUGCGGUGCCAAAGUAUCCGCUCAUUAGACCCCAUAAAAGGUGUUGGUUGAUACAGACAGCAGGACGGUGGCCAUGGAAGUCGGAAUCCGCUAAGGAGUGUGUAACAACUCACCUGCCGAAUCAACUAGCCCUGAAAAUGGAUGGCGCUGGAGCGGGUCACCUAUACUCUGCCGUCAUAAGCUUGUAUUUUGUUAAAAAGUCUUGCAAUGACGUGUAAGAGGGUCGUAGUGGUUGCGUUGAAGGCUUUGGGUGUGCACCCAGCUGGAGCUUCCACUAGUGCAGAUCUUGGUGGUAGUAGCAAAUAUUCAAGUGAGAUCCUUGAAGACUGAAGUGGAGAAGGGUUCCACGUGAACAGCAGUUGAAUGUGGGUCAGUCGAUCCUAAGGCACCGGCUAAAGCCGUCUAGACACUGCGGGGAGAUGAGAUACUUAACGGUAACUUGUCUACCUGGUUGCCGAAAGGGAAGUGGGUUAAUAUUCCCACACCAGGCAUGGGAGAUUGUGAUCCGCGAGGAUUACUUUGCGCGGUGACGCAAACGAACUCGCAGACCUCGUGUGGAGUCCGGGCCAGAGUUCUCUUUUCUGGUUUAGAGAUCAUGUCCCUGGAAGUGGCUCAGCCUGAGAUAGGGAUACUGGUCUUGUAAAGCGCAGCGGUUCCUGUUGUGUCCCGUGUGCUCCACAUGAGCCCCAGUAUCUGGCCCGAUUCCCAGGACGUCUCCGUUCCAAGUACUAAGGAAGCCCAGCGUUGCUUAACUUGCCAGAUCGGACGGGAUGGCGUGCUUUCAACGCGGUAUGGUCGUAAUCAAUGGGUUGUCAAUUUCUUAAUAUUUAAAACAAAUUUCGCUGAGGCAAAGUGGGCGUGGCUUUUCGAUGUUCGCUGUUCGCGGGAAUGGUUUAAAGGAAAACUCAAAUUGGGCUAAUCUAGAAAUCGUGGAGAGAAAUAAUAGGAUUAAAAAAUUUUUUGAAAAAUUUAAAGUUUAUUAUUAUAAUAAGCUUUGUUUUUUGAAGAAUAAAGUUUAUUGUUAUUUAUUUUUUAAAACUUUUAAAGUUUAUAAAAUUAAACUUAUAACAAUAAACUUCUAACAAUCCUUUAUUGACUCUCGCUGCAAAAUUAAUUUGGCUUCUGGCAAUUGUCAGGAAUUUAGCCGAUUAUAACUUUUGUGAAUUUAUAAUUAUAAUUAAUUAUUGACAUUCUUUUGCAAAGGAUAUUUAGUAUGUUAUCAGCUUCAUUAAUUUUUAAUUUUCGACUUUUAUUUCGGGAUUUUGAAUUCUAAAAUUAUCAAUGUAAUCAUUAUUAAUGACAGCUUAAUUACCAGCAGUCUCGGUAAUUCAAGCUUUGCUAAAUACCUAAAUAAAAGAUAUCUGGUUGAUCCUGCCUGAACUGAUGUGUUUAUUUCAAAGAUUAAGCCAUGCAUGUAUAAGUUUAAUCGUUUAUCGAGAAACCGCGAACGGCUCAUUACAAUGGCCAUUAUUUACUUGAUCUUGAUUGUCUAAAUGGAUAACUGUGGAAAAGCUAGAGCUAAUACAUGCACUAAAGCUUUGUCCUUACGGAAAAGCGCAUUUAUUAGAACAAAACCACGCGGCUUCGGCUGCUUCUUGUUGACUCAGAAUAACUUAGCUGACCGCAUGGCCUUGUGCCGGCGGCGUGUCUUUCAAGCGUCCACUUUAUCAACUUGACGGGAGCAUAAUCGACUCCCGUGGUGGUGACGGAUAACGGAGGAUCAGGGUUCGACUCCGGAGAAGGGGCCUGAGAAAUGGCCACUACGUCUAAGGAUGGCAGCAGGCGCGCAAAUUACCCACUCUCGGCUCGAGGAGGUAGU
rnacentral:rRNA from 1 species